rnacentral:tRNA from 1 species
GCCGUCGUAGCUCAGCGUGGUAGAGCAGCUGACUGUUAAUCAGCUGGCCGCAGGUUCAAGAUUAUAUAUGAAAAUCCUGUCGACGGCG